rnacentral:rRNA from 1 species
GCAGUCGAGCGAAGCAUUUUAAAGGAAGUUUUCGGAUGGAAUUUGAAAUCACUGAGCGGCGGACGGGUGAGUAACGCGUGGGUAACCUGCCUCAUACAGGGGGAUAACAGUUAGAAAUGACUGCUAAUACCGCAUAAGCACACAGUACCGCAUGGUACGGUGUGAAAAACUCCGGUGGUAUGAGAUGGACCCGCGUCUGAUUAGCUAGUUGGCGGGGUAACGGCCCACCAAGGCGACGAUCAGUAGCCGACCUGAGAGGGUGACCGGCCACAUUGGGACUGAGACACGGCCCAAACUCCUACGGGAGGCAGCAGUGGGGAAUAUUGCACAAUGGGGGAAACCCUGAUGCAGCAACGCCGCGUGAGUGAAGAAGUAUUUCGGUAUGUAAAGCUCUAUCGGCAGGGAAGAAAGUGACGGUACCUGACUAAGAAGCCCCGGCUAACUACGUGCCAGCAGCCGCGGUAAUACGUAGGGGGCAAGCGUUAUCCGGAUUUACUGGGUGUAAAGGGAGCGUAGACGGCACAGCAAGUCUGAAGUGAAAUCCCCGGGCUCAACCCGGGAACUGCUUUGGAAACUGUUGGGCUGGAGUGCUGGAGAGGCAAGCGGAAUUCCUAGUGUAGCGGUGAAAUGCGUAGAUAUUAGGAGGAACACCAGUGGCGAAGGCGGCUUGCUGGACAGUAACUGACGUUGAGGCUCGAAAGCGUGGGGAGCAAACAGGAUUAGAUACCCUGGUAGUCCACGCCGUAAACGAUGCAUACUAGGUGUCGGGGAGCAAAGCUUUCCGGUGCCGCCGCAAACGCAGUAAGUAUGCCACCUG